UAUGUUUUAAUUGCAGGUCUUGAAAUAUUCAUGUUCUGAUCAAUUUAAAUUUAAAAAUUCAAAGGAACAAAAUCUUUCACUUUUAAUUUUACUUGGAGAAUGACUGGAUUUAGAUGAGCGUGUACAAUUUUGUUUGUGAUUAGUGAGAAGACGAAGUAAACGAAGUGUUCCUUUUAUAAUCGUCUAUCCGGUACAAAGUUAGUACGCUUUUUAUAUCGAAGUUGGAUUUUUCUCCAGAUACAGAUCCAGAUACAGAUUUUCUCCCAACUUCGGAAGUAGUGCGCUGGAUUCGCCUAAAGAUGCGCUAAACAACACAUCAAUUAGUUUGACAGAUAAAAUUUCGGAAGAAAGUUCGGUUCGGAAGUCCCGACUUCCGAAUUCUAAGUUGAUGCUACGCCGACAAUACUGAUUCUGCGAGCAAGCAACGGCCGAUCAUUUCCCGCUGUACCGUGAAAUUGAAUUAAUGAUAAAACACUGCUGCAUGCCACCAUCACUGAUGAUUCAAUAUCGUUCGGCGACUAUCAUCGAGCUAUAUCACCAACGGGAUACAAUAAAAAAUUAAACAGGAAAAAAUGCGAGCAGCAUUAGUUACAGCGGCUUCAGUGAGUAUAGCCGGUUGCAUCAUUGGCGACUGAAAUCUACGUUUAUGAAUCCCGGUCUGAAUAGCAGUUAACGCACUUAACAAUACCAAUACCAAUAUAAUUUUAAUUUUAAUUCGAACACAAAUUGAACUAAAGUCAAAUUGAAAUUAAAUUAAAACUGAAUUGAAUUUAAUUAAAACUGAAGUAGAAUUAUCCUUAAAAUAUAUUAAAAAUGAAACAAAAUUUAA